rnacentral:rRNA from 1 species
ACGCGAAGAACCUUACCAAGGCUUGACAUGCACCGGACGACUGCAGAGAUGUGGUUUCCCUUUGUGGCUGGUGCACAGGUGGUGCAUGGUUGUCGUCAGCUCGUGUCGUGAGAUGUUGGGUUAAGUCCCGCAACGAGCGCAACCCUCGUUCCAUGUUGCCAGCACGUGAUGGUGGGGACUCAUGGGAGACUGCCGGGGUCAACUCGGAGGAAGGUGGGGAUGACGUCAAAUCAUCAUGCCCCUUAUGUCUUGGGCUUCACGCAUGCUACAAUGGCCGGUACAGAGGGUUGCGAGACCGUGAGGUGGAGCGAAUCCCUUAAAGCUGGUCUCAGUUCGGAUUGGGGUCUGCAACUCGACCCUAUGAAGUUGGAGUCGCUAGUAAUCGCAGAUCAGCAACGCUGCGGUGAAUACGUUCCCGGGC